rnacentral:tRNA from 4 species
GCCUGAGUGAUGGAAUGGUAGACAUAGGGGACUCAAAAUCCCCCGGGCGUAUGCCCUUAAGGGUUCAAGUCCCUUCUCAGGUACCA